ACAACUUAAAAUCUAACCCGAGAGAACACCCCUGAACCAUAAGCCGUACCAACCCCAACCACCACAGCCGCCGCUCCCUCACCAUUAGUACUGGAUGGAAACCGGAGACCAUGCACACAUGAACAGUACGCAGAAACAGAGGAGGGCUUGGAUUCCAAACAAAAGAAAAAAAUGGAAAUAGAGUGAGGACAUGGAGAGAGCAACAGAAAACUUCAUAAAUCUAACACUUUGAUUUUUAAGUGCUUUUGCUUCCUCUUUAAGUUUAGUAAAUCAAAACCAACAAAGAAAAAAUCGAACCCAACACUGCCUAAAAAUACUUCAUCAACCAGUAUCCAAAAGUACACAAUCUCUCAUCUUUAUGCUCCAUUCCUUGCAAAGAUUUGGUGGAAUUCGAAGAGAUGCUGCCCCGGUUGAGUCCGAGAUUCCGAUCCGUGUUCGGGUUCCCUUCGCCAUCGAGGUUUUUCAGUCCAAGUUUGCACUCAUAUAUCGCUACUAUAAUGGGAAAGGCUAUCAAUCUUUGAGAUUCAUGCGCUGUUGGUUCAGCUCCGGAGUGCUGAUUUCCUCCAGUUCCAGGCGGGACUUUCGGAGAUUACGAGGUAGUUGUUGACGUCCGCAGCCCCGUGUCUCUACUCCUCUAGCACUUUUGUUCCUUCUCAAACAUUUGUGGUAGUUUAUGACUUCAGCAGACUUGUAUUAUAGCUCAUAGAUGCUCGUGACUUGUGACACCCCGGUUAGGGCUGUGUUGGGUUGUACUUCCACACUUUAUUGGCAUUAUUCGCUACUUAGUAUUGCUAUAUCAUGUUCUAGACUGCUUUUAUGUUAUUUAACUGUUUAAAAAGUGAA